UACAGAGGGUGCGAGCGUUGUCCGGAAUCACUGGGCGUAAAGGGCGCGUAGGUGGCGACCCAAGUCGAUGGUGAAAGCUCGCCGCUCAACGGCGAGUCGGCCACCGAUACUGGGUUGCUGGAGCACUGUAGAGGCAGAUGGAAUUCCGGGUGUAGCGGUGGAAUGCGUAGAGAUCCGGGAAGAACACCGGUGGCGAAGGCGGUCUGCUGGGCAGUUGCUGACACUGGAGGCGCGACAGCGUGGGGAGCAAACAGGG
rnacentral:rRNA from 1 species